AGUAAAAACACAGAAUACCACAACUAACAGAAGUUAUCGUUGCAGCUUCUGUUAAUUCUUCUUUUAAAGGAGGGACAUCAUUGCAUGGAUUCCAUGGUGUGUUGGAACCUCACCUACAGCUGGAGGGUGACCCUGCAGUUGUCCGUAGCCUCUCAUCAGUAGAGAAUGGUCUCACCGUAGUUCACCUGCUCCACCAUGAUGUACAGUUACCACGGGACACUCAGGAGCUGAAUUCUGUUAGCAUCAGGGACACCCAUCCUUUACCACAUGUUGAUGAUAGCCUGGAUGCUUUGUCUGGUGCCACUCUGUUCAAUACGCUCGACAUGUCUAGUGGCUAUUGAGAAAUCCAAAUGGACGAAAAUGAUAAAGAAAAGACCGCCUUAACCACCGGCGAUGGGCUAUUUCAUUUUAAGGUCAUGCCCAUGGCCCAUGAUUUUUGGACAUGUUGUUUCAUAGGAGGGCAUUCAUUCAAACCCUGCUACUACAGCAAAAGUCCUACAAUGGCCUCGACCAACUACUGCCACAGAGGCUCUAUCAGAACCACCAAUACUUACCUACCCAGACUUCAAGAAACCGUUUAUCUUAUACACAGAUGCAUCACAGAUGCCAUUGGCUCAGUACUGGCUCAAGAACAGCAAGGUGUUGAAAAAUUUGUAGCCUAUGUGAGUCAUGUGUUAACGUCUACGGAGCGCAAGUGGUCCACAUUUGACCGGGAAUGGUGUGGGCAGUAAGACAUUUUUAUCAUUAUCUAUUGGGAUCAUCCUUUCACCAUUGUUACUGACCACCGUCCAUUAAUACUUAGUUUUCUACUAAAAAUGUUGUCUGGAAUAUAUAGUGUGGCACUCCUGCAGGAUAACCUGCCCAACCACAUCUACUUUUAGUAUUUGCUUCUUUCAGGGUGGUCUCUAAGCAUUUUAACUACAAGGCUAUUUAUACAGUACAUCAUUUUACAUUAAUAUACCCAUUAGAAGAUUGCUAAAUUAUGUAGAAAUAGUGGUUAUGUCCAGGGCGUGCACCCAUUUCUGUUUAAUAGACAAUAAUUGUGAUAUGCGAUUGAGCAACUCCCUUACUGAAAUGCUGUGGGCAUCCACUAAACAAUCUGCUAUGCAAGUCAUUUUUAAUAAUCCCCUCUAGAUAUACUUAGUAAUGUGCUUGUAAGUACAGGUUCUGCUCCACUGCACAUUAUUAAGAUGUAAAACCUCACUCUUGAGGAUUCUACACCUAUUGCAGUUUGCCAGUCAAUCAGAUUAAUUUUUUUGCAGCCUGACUGCAAAAGCAAAAUGGCCUAAAAUUGAACAAUGUUUACCAAUAUUACCACCACAUACAGUCCAGUUGAUAUCUUAGUUUAUACCACUGGCAUUGGUCAUGGUAAUGCCUAAUCUGCCUUUACAUUAACUCCUUUACAGAAAUGUCCUGUCUGUAUGUAAGAUGAUCCAGAACAAAAGGAAAUAAACCCAACUAGAAUUCUAGUUUUGUAUUAGAAUAAGAGCUGUUUAAACCACUAGACAUUUAUCUUUUUCAAAAACUGUAAUGUCUAUAACAAUUCAUUGAUCUGAACUCAGGCACCCAACACAUUACAAGGGUUAAAAUAAACUCUAACCACACAAUGGAUCCGUUUGUAUGUACUGUAAUAUAAUAUGGUUUUACUGAUAAUCCCAUAAACAGCCAAAGACAGUUUGGGAUGUGCAAUCAGGGUAAACGUGUGUCACAAGUGACCAAAGUCACUGGUAGUUUUAUUGUACACUGUUUUAGUUGCACUAAUUACUGUAUUUUUUACACUGUGUGUUUUAUUUAUUUGUAUACCCAAAAGGAGGCCACAAUAAGGGGUUACAUCUAUGUGUUUUAUCCUUUUAAUUAUUUUACCACAGGCACAGUCACAAACGAUUGGGACCUUAAUUUUAGUCAUCAGCGCCACUUGAUUAGUUCCCCUAUAUAACUGGAACUAAAAGAACAGGAAGAGAGAGAACACAGAGGACACACACUGGAACCAGGGCCAUUUUGGACACGGAAGGAAGAGAAGCAGCACUACAGCCUAAGCAACAAAUACAUUGAAGAGAAGCAGAAGGAAACAAAACAGCAAAACUAAAUGCAGUGAAGACUCUACGUCACAGAAAAGAAAGUUAAGUACUCUUUGCAUUGUCGAGAUUAAGAGAAUACUGUUUCACGACGGACUGCGAACUUGUGGUGUUUACUUUGGUUGAUCCCCGGAGCCAGCAUCGCAGCCGUUGUGUGUGCUGAUGCGCC